UUUUAUUUUUACUAUAGAUGCACUUGUGCCUCCCAGGCUCAAAAUGCACUUGUGCCUUUUUUUUUUGAAAAAAAAAGAUCUGUACAAUUUAUUCAUAUUUUGGCUUUUUGUCUUAAAUAGCAAAUAGUGAUGACCAGUGAUGAUGAGGCCCAGAGGAUUACUAAGAGGCCAAUUUGAUGGCGAUGCCAGGCAUGCUAGACUGAUUUGGCUCGUGGAUAUAUGAUGCAUUUUACUGCAAUGCUACCAUGGUAGGAGUGAAAGGGGAUUACAGAGAUUUGUGCCUCCCGCUCCACGGUUGAUUUGUGUGGGUAAGAAGAGCUCCAUCUCACCAUCUGGAACUCGAUUCCGACGGAGGUGAGCUUCCUGAGCGAGGUAUGGAGAGAACUCCAGUUUCUUUAUCUGUUCAAAAGACAGACAUUUAAUGAGUUGUUUGCAUUGCAUGAGUGACAACAUUGAUGAGCAAUGCAAGCUGCUGCUAGAUGUGAAUGUUCAAGGUUGCUCAAAAAUUAUACAGAGAUACUGAACAAUUCAAGUGUUUUGAAGACGAGAACUUUUGGUGCAUCUUAGGCGGCCUCUGCUUUGAUAUUUUGAAGGCAUAUUCAUAUAUACCUCUUAUUUGUUCCCAAUGUUUGCAGAGGCAAUCCAUGUGAAGGAUAUUGAACAAUCAAAUUUGCAGGAGAAAAAUCAGAGCUGAAUUAUGCUUUCGAACCUCAUCUAUGUGUGAGAUUUGUCAUCUACAAAGCUUUCAACAUCUGUGCCAUAAAUGCAACUAUUGGGUCUGUUUCUUUAUAGUGGAUAUAACAUCUGAAGAUACCACUUUUUGAAUUGCAUUCUAUACUGAAAUUCACUAAUUCAUUGUUGAUGGUGGAGAGACAUUGCUCGAUGCUAUCACGGCUGGUGACCAACUUAAUAUGGACAUUCAAAUGGAGGAAGGAAAUUUUACUC